rnacentral:rRNA from 1 species
GACGAACGCUGGCGGCGUGCUUAACACAUGCAAGUCGAACGGAAAGGCCCUGCUCUUGUGGGGUGCUCGAGUGGCGAACGGGUGAGUAACACGUGAGUAACCUGCCCUUGACUUUGGGAUAACUUCAGGAAACUGGGGCUAAUACCGGAUAGGAGAUCCUGCUGCAUGGUGGGGGUUGGAAAGUUUCGGCGGUUGGGGAUGGACUCGCGGCUUAUCAGCUUGUUGGUGGGGUAGUGGCUUACCAAGGCUUUGACGGGGAGCCGACCGGAGAGGGUGACCGGCCACAUGGGGACUGGGACACGGCCCAAAGGCCGACGGGAGGCAGCCGUAGGGAAGCGUCGGAAAUGGACGAGAGUCUGACCGGGACACGCCGCGUGAGGGAAGAAGGGUUUCGGAUCGUAAAAAUCGGUUGGUAGAGAAGAAAGGUGGUGAGAGUGGAAAGCUCAUCAAGUGACGGUAACUACACAGAAAGGGACGGCUAACUACGUG